GCCGGCAGUCACAGGGCUCACCCAGCUCCCACCCAAACCAAAGGGCCGGUCUCACUCCCACCGUGCACCCCCCAACAGCCCCCAGUCCGUUUCCAGGCGGAGAGGGAUACAGGCCUGAAAACCUGCCCCAGGCUACCCGCCUCCCAGCUGCGAGAGAAAAAGGCUUGGUUCUUCCCCCGCCUGUGGAGUCAGCACCCCGGAUUCGUGCCCUGCCCUAGUUCUGGCCAGGAGGAUUCUCACCCAGUUCAAACUGUUACAACGCUCAGCUAGAGAUUUCCUUCUCCCUGUGGAGUUUUACCCCCUCCUCUCCCGAUGGAUCCCUGUGGUGCCAGCAGGAAUGGGCUGCUCGGGGACCCAGCGAGCUCCGCGGGCCUUUCCGCUGCUUCCUCUACCCCUGUACCUCACUGGGCUCCCCAGACGGACUCAGCUCCAGGUGUCUGUGAACUCAAGAGAAGCCUUUCAUUCUAGACAUAGUAGUUAUUUUCUAAAUCAUCUUUAAACUUAUUUGCUGGAAUAUUGUGGGGGUAAAGUGCAAACUUCCCCUUCACCAUCUGAAGGUUUGCUAAAAAUCAACAGGCAGAAGGCGAAUUAACAGGAGAAAUGGCAUGCCAAUUUGUUUGAUCACAGUUUUACAUGAAGAAUGAAGACCCAAAGACACAUGAGAAAUUGUCCAUUUUUAUGCAACACCAGACCAGGCGAUGCUCUAAGACAGGUACAACAAAGUAUGGACAUGCGUGUAGAAAUACGAGUCAACUAAAGGGUGUGAUCUACUGCUAAUAGGCUGAGUGGGGACACCCAGACUCUUCCUGGCCCCUGUGAGCAGCUUCCUUUCCUUCUGGUGUGGGGCAGGAACUUCUCUGGAAUGGGGAUCUUCUGACCCACAGUCAAACAAGAAUUGGACAGAAGUCACAUCAGGGAGACCAGAGACUAGAGUAUUGCAUCAUAGAGGAAAGACACUGAUGACAAGACCUCAGGGGAGCAGUGGAACUGGAGGCCUGGGAGCUUGGGACGUGUUCUCCGGGUGAAGUUGGCUGGCCAGCUGAUGACCUACACCAGUGCCAUUCACUCCUCAUGUGUCCCCCGGGAAUUCAUAGUGUGUGUCAUCAGGUAAAAGCAACACUACUUUCAGAUGUUUUCUGAUCUCUUUGAGAUCUGGACAACACUACUGUGUACAUAUGGCCAGCAACAAAUUACACUCAAUGAAUAUUUUAGAGAGCAGCAAAGUAAUCAAUUAAAAUGUGGGUAAACAAAAAUCACUGUGAUCACAGCUCUGUCUACAUGGUUCUUUGGUAAAAAAUUAGAAUCCUGGGGAUUAGUCUGAGGAUAAAUAUUAUUUAAAAAGCAUUUUGGUUAAAUAGUAAUUAGUAAAUUUUGCUCUGCCGAAAA
rnacentral:lncRNA from 1 species